AGGGUUUGAUCAUGGCUCAGGAUGAACGCUAGCGGCAGGCUUAACACAUGCAAGUCGAGGGGCAUCACGGGUAGCAAUACCUGGUGGCGACCGGCGGAAGGGUGCGUAACGCGUGAGCAACAUGCCCUAUACAGGGGGAUAAUCCAGGGAAACUUGGUCUAAUACCCCAUUGGAUUUAUUGGUGGCAUCAUUGAUAAAUUAAAGCUUCGGUGGUAUAGGAUUGGCUCGCGUGACAUUAGUUUGAUGGUGAGGUAACGGCUCACCAUGGCGAUGAUGUCUAGGGGUUCUGAGAGGAAGGCCCCCCACACUGGGACUGAGACACGGCCCAGACUCCUACGGGAGGCAGCAGUGAGGGAUAUUGGACAAUGGAUGGAAAUCUGAUCCAGCCAUGCCGCGUGCAGGAAGACGGCCCUAUGGGUUGUAAACUGCUUUCAUACGGGAGCAAUAAGGUCUACGCGUAGACUGAUGAGAGUACCGUAUGAAUAAGCAUCGGCUAACUCCGUGCCAGCCGCCGCGGUAAUAC
rnacentral:rRNA from 1 species